CGUUUAAAUUUUAAAAAUAUGCCGUGUUUAAAUCGUUAAAACAUUGCGUGGUCAUAUAAAGACGUGAAAUCGCACGUCUUCUUGUGAAAGCCUGAGCUAUAUUGGAUUUAUUGAAGUCCAUUUCGUUUGGCUUUGGCAAAAAGUAUUCCAUUUUUUUUUUUAAAAUAAGUACUUUUCCAAAAUCUCUUCUUAAAAUGUCUUCAGUUCACUUCUGGUACCAUGUAAUGUUUUGUCUUUAUAUUUAUUAUAAAGAGAAUUCGACUAUGAUUUUUAUUUAAUAUUUAUUUCAAUAUUUUCAUAUUAAAUUAUCACAAGUUUAAAUAUAAAACUUUGUAUAGUUUCGCGUCUUCAACUGUAAAAUUGUUUCAGUUUUGAAAUUUUGUUGAAAUAUUUUUUAAAUUUUGGGUAUUGCUAAAAGCUUAUUUUUAGGAAUUCAUAUUUGCCUAUAUCAGAGACUGUUAUAUACAGUAGUCCAGAAAUAAGUUUUUGUUUGCAAAAGGGUAACUUGCAACUAGCUGAACUGAAAAAAAAUCUUAAAAAAACGAAAGUCUUGCACAAAAAAGCUAAAAAAAAUAAAUAAAAAGUUAACUACAGAGAACGAAGAUCUUCCUGAGCCACCUGUUUUUUUUCUCACUUAAGUUAUAAAACUCCAGAACAUGUGGCAAGCAGAUCGAGUGGUCUGUCUAGCAUUCUGUCAUUAUUUUCUAAACCUCAUGGAAAGCCACUUUUAAAAGAAUUUCCAUUUUGCUCUUCAGAUGGAUGGCUGUAUUCAGCUGCAACAGCUGUAGAACAGAAACUAAUUCUUCUUCUUUAAAAAAUUAAAGCGCAAGGAGAUGAGCUUAAGGAACAAGGAGAAAAAACUAUAAACCUGUUACAGCACCUUGCGAAAACAAACAAGGUAGAAAGUUUAGUAAGAGGAUUACCUUUCCGAUUGCCAGCAACAACUGUAGAAGAGUUAAACCUUAUUAACAAUCAAGCUAAAGAAAGCGACAUUAAAGGAAGACUGAAGCUCUAUUUUAUCUUAAUAACAAGAUUUCUUGGAUUGGUUGGCGAGCUCAAUGUAAAGUUAACUACCAGAGCAGUGCUAAGUCGUUUACUGAUCACAAAUGUAGCAAAGUUAUGUAUAUGGAAGGGAAAAGGAAAUAAGAUUGAAUUCAGCAAAAUGCAAUUUGUUGGAAUUGUUUGUGAAAACAUCUUACAGAUGUAGAAAUUGGACGAAUUAUUGAAGUUGCUAACCAAGGAGAGUCUCUCAGAAGCAUUGGAAAGCGUUUUAAACAAGAAAACUCAACUAGUAGUAGAUUGGUAAAGAAAUAUAAACACACUGGUAAAACUAAAAGGGCUGUUGGAUCUGGGAGAAAGCCAAAAACUUAAAAAAAGGAAGAUCAUUAAAUCACUUGUUCUGAGAUAAAACUAAAUUUGAACCUUACUAAUAUCUCAAAGUGAAUAAUAUUUCGCAGAAUUAAAGCAUCAAGUGAUUUUUUUUCUGGAAAGCAAAUUAAAAAACCUUUUGUUAGUGAAAUCAAUUGAAAAAAGUGUAUAAAGUGGUGCAUUGAGCACAAAGAUUGGACAUAUGAACAAUGGACUAAAGUUGUCUGGAGCUAUGAGUCUCUGUUUGUUUUGUAUUAAAAUGAUCGAUCUCACUGGAAAUUAAUUGGGGAAAAAAUCAAUCCUCAAACGUGCAAGGCAACUAUUAAACAUUACAAAAGUAUUAAUGUCUGGGGUUGUUUGAGUGCACACAAAGUUGGAAAACUUUAACGGGUGAAUCGCAUCAUGGACCAGCAUUUGUAUCACAAAAUCUUAGUUAAUCAGCUUGGACAAGUUUAAAAGAAAUUUUUGCUAAUGGUGAUUACAUCUUUCAACAGGAUAAUUAUCCUAAACAUACAGCACGGUUGAAUAAAAGAUAUCUAGAAUCUAAAUUGAUACCAGUUAUGUCUUAGCCAGCACAGUCUCCUGUUUUAAAUCCAAUAGAAAACCUUCGGUCUAUUUUAGAUAAAAAAUUGCAAGAUCGUAGGGCAACAAAUGAAGAUGAUCUGUUCCAAAUUCUUUUUGCAGGCUGGAAUGCUUUUCCAAACAACUUAUUAAAAAGACUUGUAGAUAGUAUGCCUUCUAGAUGCGCGGAAGUCAUAAGAAACAAAGGAUGACAAAUUACAUACUAAAACAGCUUUAACCUCAAAAAUACUUUACAAAUCCAAUUUUCUUUUUAUUAUAUGUAAUAUACAACUAUAUUAUAAACAUUUUUAUCAAAAUUGGCCUUUAUUACUUUAUUAU